AAUCCAUAAAUGGUAGCAAUAUUUCUAUCUUUAUUUAUAACCCAAAAAUGGUGCAUUGCACAAAUUUAGAGUUAAUAAAUAGUUGUGGAAAUGAGGGAAGGAGAGAGAGAGAAGGGGAGAGGUGGGAAAGGAGGAGGAAAGAGAGAGGUGAAAAAGAUUCAAGUUUUGCACUGAGAAGAGGUAGUUUCCUCUUUCUAAUUAAUAACGUCUCUGAUUAUAACAUGUAUUUAUUGUGGAAGUUUUUUGAAUAUCGUGGACUAGGAAUACCAUGAACCAGCACCACAGAUCCUGCAAAUCAGAGUCCUCUCGUUACCACUGCAGCUUUGACGCCUGUUACAGCAAUUACGUUCACCUUGCCUCUUACAGCUACACGCCAUCACCUGGUCUGUCAUUCCAGAACCCUCUCACUUCCGCUGACACCAGGGAGUCCAGUUUCAGGGCACUUUGUCCUGCCAUCAGGCCCUGUCUCCAAAGGACAGCCCCUACCCUGGUUUUCCACGGUGCAGUGCCUUCCUUACGGCUUUAUUGAAGAAGCGUCCACAGAACCCUCCAGGAGAUCAUAGCCAGCUGGCGCCUUCUCUGCUCUUAUGUGAUAAAUCCAUUCUAGAAGGUCCACAUUUCUGAGCAUUUUAUCUUUAAAUACUCUUACAGGACAGUUCUAGCGCCUUCUCUUCAUUAACGUAAGCCACCGUUUUCCCUAAGCAUUAAAGAGUCAUCCAACAGCACACUGGGACUGGAGCUAGGUGCCCUUGUGAGGCUAUUAAAUCCUGAGUCAUGGGAGAAUGACCCCAUGUGAAUAAACUCUUAUCCAGUCUCAUACUCUGCCACCCAGUCCAACACCCUCAAGACCCAUUUCCAAGCACAUUCUUCUGAUCCCUGUUUAAACUAGUAAAGCCAUGAGGCAGCUUCAGUAGAGAAUCUAAUUCCUCCCACCACAGAGAAAGGCCUUCUCCAGCCAGGUCAUCCUGAGACUUGACCCUAAUGAUCCAAGUAAACCCAGUGAGGGGUUGUGGGUAAUGUUUGAGAAGGGCAAGUAUUAGCUCUUAAAGCAUCCUCCUCAAACGGGGCUUCUGCCUGGUCUCGAGGCGAGGGAGGCUGAUCUUCUCCAGCAAGGAGGAGCAGCCCCUGUCUGCAAGAGAAGCUCAAGCUUCUCUAUGAGGUCCUUGAUUUAAGUCUAGGAGACUGCUAGGGUGGUGGAUCCAGCCUUUUAAAUAAUUCAACUGUUCUCUCAAUUAGGUCUGAAGCUUGAUUUUCAGCACAGUCUGCCCUCUAGCUUCUCUGGUGGCUUUCACACCAUGCCAUGAGUGCUCUGAUGGCACUAAACGACCAACUAAUCCCAUAGUCCUGCUAUUACCAUUGUUCCCACACCGCUCAACUGGAGUUGAUAUUGUAUUAGCCAGAACGUGCCUUUCCAUGUAUGUCACAUCCUGGUUCAUCACAGCAGGGGAGUCUUUAAUCAUCGUGUUGCUACAGCACCUCAUCGUUCUCACAGCCCACACCACUACUGUGGCAUGCUGGCUAAGCUUCCCCAAAGAUAGCAAUGCUGGCUUUCAUCCAUUUGCCCAUUAGAUCUGCUCUCCACCCUUCUGCUAGCUGCUUCCCAGGAGGCCAGCGUUUACGGAUUAUAUCAAUGGGCUCCCUCACUCUCUUCCUUCCCGUUUGAUUUGGCAUGGAACGGACAUGGGAGCCAAGUGCGGUUGGGGUAUUUGCUUCCCUACCUCCCUCCCCACCAGGCCUCAGUUUGGUGAUGGCUGCAUCUUCCUAUGAAAAGUGGCAGCUCCGGACAGGCCUCCCUCUCCUACGGUUCUGUUUGGGACCUGAUAAUCUGCUCUUCUUCUUAUUCCUUCAGCCUAGGGUUGACCUUCGCUUCUCAGUGUUUCACGCCCAUUGUUGGUUUCUCUAACUCUGCCCACACAUUUAUAAAUCGUCUCUUCAUUGAACUCUCCUACAACAGUGUAUCAUGUUUCCUGCCAGAAACCUUACUGAUGCUGUGGUCUUUUCCCAAAUUCUGGCAAGCCUUUACUGCCUCUGCCUUUCCCCCCAAAGUUUCCUUAAGAAGCAGCCCUUUCUCUCAAAAAAUCCUGAGGGAAGUCCUUCGGAAUGGGUUGAAAAUAUUUGAGUGGUACCCCCCAGCAUUAUUUCCAAUCACCACCACUGUCCCAGUAGAGACCCCAGGCAGUCAACUACUUUUCAUGUUAGAGUGACUUUCUACCAAAACAGAUCUGCACUAAAGAUUGGGGGGGAUUUUGCUCAUGUUCUUUGUCCCCAGACGUCUUCCUCAGCAUUCCAGUCCUUGACCAUCAACUCCAACUUUUGCUUUACUGUUUUCAUGGGGACUCAUAGAUCCCUCACUCGAGGAGGACGCCUGGCUCCCAGCUGUGGUAUGCCAGGGGCGGGAACACAGAUGAAGCCACUUUGGGGACUCAUGAUGACCCAGCCAUCUGUCUGUGUCCUUUACUCAACAUGACAUCCUAAAUUAAUGUGUACCAAGGAUCCAGAGGCCUAAGCAGUUUGCUUCAUCACUUACAAUGAUCUCCUGAGAGCUGAGAAAAGACACACAUGCUCCCCAUAUGUUUUUCCCUUGUCCUCUCAGAAUACACAAUGCUCUGUCCAAGGUCAAAUUAAUUAGCAUUAUGUCCCCUGUGGAUGAAUAAAAAAGCCACAAAUAAAGCUAUGUGUUUCAAGGAAGUAGAAGAAAUAAUGAUUCUCUGCAAACAGAUACCAGAAAGGUCAGCCUUGGGUUGCUGCUUUUACUAUCCCAUAUUUAUAGGGGGCAAAAAUUCUGGGAUUAUGAAUGAAGUGAACAGUGAAGUCUUAGAAGAAAUUAAUUUUAUUGGAAAGUCAUUUCUUCCUUUCAAAACACUGGGUAUUUGUGGGACGGCUCCUCAUUUUAUUGACUUAAAGAGAUAACAUUUGCCUUAGAUGAUAGUAUAGUUGCUAUGGUAACUUUUUUAACGAGACUAAAAAUAAUGAAGCCUGUGUCUGAUUUACUAGGACAAGUCAAGCCUUUCUCCACGACUGUCUGAAAGAAAUAUCUGUCAAUUGUCACAGAUUUAUUUCAGAUUAAAGGGCACAUGGUUUAGACGCUGAA